rnacentral:lncRNA from 1 species
CCUCCCCGCGCGCGUGCCUCCUGCCGGGCAGCGCCGCCGCGUAAUGGCGAACCCGGCGGCCAAAUAAUGACUUGUUCAUUGUUCCUACAUGCGGCUGAUGGGACUUCCAAAGCAUCAUGGACUUAAUUAUGCAGUUUUUGUCGACCAAAGAGCAAAAACUAUUAUACGUGUUCUUGAAAGUUAACCAGUGCAGGGAGCUGUGUGCCAGGCCCUAUGCAUCAGUCAAGGCACGUGUAUGGGAACUGUUGGGUCACGGCCUGAGCCACUGGUUGAGCACCUGAGGAAAGGACCUGGUCAACCCUGGGAGCACAGGUGAAGGCAGUUCAGCUGUGUGACCAGAAGGGGUGGAGCCUGGCUGCACCUCUCUUAGACCUCCUUGAAGGGCUGACUGCCACUGGGGAAGGAUCUCUUUUUGGAGAUCCCUCCUUGGUGAAGCUUUCCCUGCAAACCUGGAAUCUUCUGAUAUGGGUGAGCAAUCUUCCUUUCUUCCUUUAUAGCACCUCUCUGUCGUGCUGGUCCUUCCAUCAUCACACCUCUGUUGUAAUGCCUUUCCCAUCUUAUUGAUCUGUCCAACUGCUGCAGCGUGCACGGAGGUUAGCAGGAAAUCGAGUAGAAUAAAAACUUCAGGUAUCAGCU